GAGACACACUUAUGGGUCAGGACUUGCUUCAGUGGGACUUUGACACUCACUGAGUCUGCCCCCUGAGUGUGUCUCA
rfam:Myotis lucifugus cont2.2778, whole genome shotgun sequence.